UGGACCCUCUUCGGAGGGUCCUUAGCUGACCCCCCACAGCUUCAGGACCACAUUCCCAUAAUGCCAGAGAGAUGAGCACAUUUUCUCUAAUUAGAUAGUGUUAACUUAUCGAUUUUGAAUGAGCCAAGUUUCGAUGUAUGAUGUCCUGAAUUGCUGCCUGGAGUGCUCAUUAGUCACUUCCCCUGCAGCUGCCUUACUGUUUUCCAGAUGCCAGCCGAGGGACCUGGCAUUUCCCUUCCCCAAGAGUGAGGCACACGAGGCCGAGCCAGUGACACUGGCGUUGGUCAGAGGAACUGAUGGAGCCUGGGCAGGGGCUGGGGGGGGGGGGGGGGCUCCACUCUUGCUCUUUACCCUCUGUCCUUGCCAGAGCGAUCGCCUCCCCUUACGUUCCUCCAAUUCAGAUCCCUCCAGGAUUGGGCCAUGCCUCUGGAGGGCCACAAGUGAACGCAACAAGCAUUUAUUAGGCGCUGAGCGUGCCAGGCACCUUGUGUCCUAACUUGAAUGUUCUCGAGGGUGGGGGGAGGGAGGUACACAGAAAGUUGUAUUGAUAUCAACGUCCACAUUGCCACAACGGCAGGCCUCCCACCCCCUAGUCAUCUUCCCCGGGUGUUUAACAUGCUUCACAGGGUGGAUCUUCGUCCACGUUUGCAAGAAGUAGGUCCCUAGGCUUUGUUUCUUCCUACCCUUCGCAGGGCAGGAUCCCUGCUCGGCUUGCAGUCUCCGCCGUGACCUCCAGGUGGCGCUGUGCCCCCGCGGUUGAGGCCUCCGGAGCCACCCAGGUGGUGCUAGGAAAGGUCUGUGCAACUUUCCCUUCCCUGAGGGGCGGGGCACAGGCCUCGGAGCAUCCCGGGCUGCUGAUCCCGGGUGCCGUGGGGCACAGCCUGGAAAGGGGAGAAGCAGGGAUUUUCUCCCCGGCUCCUUCCUUUCUCUGCUCAACUCACCAGCAAGCUGGGUGCAGAUGUGAAAGUUCUGAGAAGCCCAGAAACUUCUGGGAGGAAAAAAAAAAAA
rnacentral:lncRNA from 1 species